GCUUUAGCUUGGAUGGAUUCACCCUCAGGAGUUUAUUUCUUCAUUGGAACAGAUUUCCAGAUUAGAACAGAAAAUACUCACCCUCAGGAGUUUGUUUCUUCAUUGGAACAGAUUUGGAGAAAUUCAGCAAGCAUUAUAGUAAUUGCUCACCAAUGGACCCUCUGCAGUGAAUGGGUGCCGUCAGAUUGAUAGUCCAAACAGCUGAUAAAAACACAAUAAUCCACAAGUAAUCCACACAUCUCCAGGCAAUCACUUAAUGUCUUAUGAAGCAAAAAGCUGCGGAUUUGUAAGAAACAGAUUCACUUUUAAGGCAUUUUUAAGUUUAUUUUCAUUCAAGCUGAGACCACCUCAUUCAGGUCAUUUUGGACUGAUUAUUUUUUGGUAUUGAUCUGAGCAUGACUGGCAUGUUCGUAUAGGCCUGAACAAACAAAACUAAGGGAAAAAAUGUGCCAGGUUCAGAAAAAAAAAACCUCUCCAAAUGCCCUAAUAUAUGACCAGCCACAUACAUAUGUACACAAAUACAUUAUGAACAACUCACAACAGCUGUUAUUGACAUAUGUGUCCUAAAUCAGCCUGUUGAUUUCUAACAGUCAAGAGGGUUUUGAUGGAAAAUGGCUGUGUAAAACAAAUUUACGAUUGCUUUUUCCCAGUGUCUACAUUGCUGGUUUUGAGGAAUAUACACCAAACCCUUAAUUGACCACUUGGUGGCUAUGAUAGUCAGUCACUGGGAUGGGUAAGUGUAUGUGUGCCAUUUCAUGUGGAUUCUUUGGUUUUAUAUUUUUAACUGAGGCUGUAUUUUCUUUGAUCAGGGUGAUCAGAGAGCUGGCCACAAAAGCUCUGCACAAUCUAACUAUCUGGGCUCCUGAAUGCAUGGCCAACACUGUCUGUGGCCUUAUUGAAAAUCUCUCUCCCUCUCCAAGAUGCCUUUUGAAGAUGACCCAGUUACCAGGGAGUCAACCAAACCUCUUUAUAUUUGCAUUUUUAAAAAUCUUUUAUCAUUUUAACUGCUGUAUUUUUCUGUUUGCUUGGUUUUUAUCUUGUUAUUUUAACUCUAGUGACUCUUAUUUUAUCACAUCUCUGUAUUUGCCAUAAAGAUAAACUUAGAUGCUAACAUGGCGAUCAGAAUACAUAACUACUACUACUACUGCUUCCACAAAUGUCUCACGGAGGAGUGAUUGUUUCAUGGAUUUGAGUUCAUCUACAUUCUGGUUUCUUGCAGCUGGUUGGCACUGGCUAAAAGAGACAGCUUGAAGACGAAUGCACUUUAAACAAUGGGAGCGAUUAAUGUUUGUGAUUUUGAUAUGAAAUUCUGAAUAAGUACUUGGGUGUGUUUUUGGGUGUACACAUACUUUUGGCAAUUUAUUGUUUGUUUACAUCCAUUUGUUGCCAUACAGAUCAGCUGGUUAGUCAAUACCUGUCGGCCCUGGAGAGUCCCGAGGUUCUGACACGCUGUGGCUGCGUUUGUCGCACCUGCUCAAGUCCGUAUCUGAACUUGUUCCCUAGAUGUUGCCUGGGCUCCAGGCCGCCUGUAAGGUAGUGCAGAAAGGGGAAAGUCUAACAGAAGCCAGGAGGGAUGUGGUCACAGCCAUGUCUCAGUGAGAAACACCUUUUUAUGUCUCCUUUGCACUUGAAGAACCAGUCUGCCUGAGCUUAAGCUCGGUCAACGCCUGCUACUUCCUGCAGGACCUGAAAUUCAUGUCUCAGUUCACUGCUUUGUCCCAUCUUGCAUUGCAUGUCCAUGUGUCCUGUGCUUUCUUGUGCUUCUCAGGGUGUGUGUAGAUGUAGGAGUGUGUGCGUGAGGCAGCUCCAACCGUGUCCUGUGUGAGGACAACAUAAGGCCUGUGUAUGAAGCCUUGCUGGGCUGUAUGAACGACUACAGCAUGGACAGCUGAGGGGUCGUAGGGGCCUGGUACGUUCACAUGCCUUUAUAGAGGUGCAUACUUGUGUUGCACAAUUUGUAAUAGUAUCAAGUCAAGUCACCUCUAUUUAUAUAGUGCUUUAUACAAUACAGAUUAGAAACGUCAUCAUACAGCUCAGUUCAGUUCUGUAAAAAUAGUGUCUGUGCAAUAAUAUUGCAAGAAAUGAAGUGUCCCCAACUAAUCAAGCCAAGGGCGACAGUGGCAAGGAACCAAAACUCCAUCGGUGACAGAAAUGGAGAAAAAAACCUUGGGAGAAACCAAGUUCAAAAAAGGACUAAAUGUAUGUGUAAAUUAUUAUUAUUAUUAUUAUUAUUAUUAUUAAUAUAUUAUUAUGUAGUUGUAUUAGUUUGUUUCA
rnacentral:lncRNA from 12 species